UGGUUUGCCAUCUCGUUAGUGGGAAGAUGUUUCACCUAUGUUGGCCCAGGUGAUAUUUAAGAGUGUCUGGCCCAGGUGAUAUUUAAGAGUGUCUGGCCCAGGUGAUAUUUAAGAGUGUCUGGCCCAUGUGAUAUUUAAGAGUGUCUGGCCCAGGUGAUAUUUAAGAGUGUCUGGCCCAGGUGAUAUUUAAGAGUGUCUGGCCCAGGUGAUAUUUAAGAGUGUCUGGCCCAGGUGAUAUAUAAGAGUGUCUGGCCCAGGUGAUAUUUAAGAGUGUCUGGCCCAGGUGAUAUUUAAGAGUGUCUGGCCCAGGUGAUAUUUAAGAGUGUCUGGCCCAGUGCUCCAGUUGUCUUGAUAGAUGUGGAGGGUGAACACCGUUAGUUGGCCCAGGUGAUAUUUAAGAGUGUCUGGCCCAGUGCUCCAGUUGUCUUGAUAGAUGUGGAGGGUGAACACCGUUAGUUGGCCCAGGUGAUAUUUAAGAGUGUCUGGCCCAGUGCUCCAGUUGUCUUGAUAGAUGUGGAGGGUGAACACCGUUAGUUGGCCCAGGUGAUAUUUAAGAGUGUCUGGCCCAGUGCUCCAGUUGUCUUGAUAGAUGUGGAGGGUGAACACCGUUAGUUGGCCCAGGUGAUAUUUAAGAGUGUCUGGCCCAGUGCUCCAGUUGUCUUGAUAGAUGUGGAGGGUGAACACCGUUAGUUGGCCCAGGUGAUAUUUAAGAGUGUCUGGCCCAGUGCUCCAGUUGUCUUGAUAGAUGUGGAGGGUGAACACCGUUAGUUGGCCCAGGUGAUAUUUAAGAGUGUCUGGCCCAGUGCUCCAGUUGUCUUGAUAUAUGUGGAGGGUGAACACCGUUAGUUGGCCCAGGUGAUAUUUAAGAGUGUCUGGCCCAGUGCUCCAGUUGUCUUGAUAGAUGUGGAGGGUGAACACCGUUAGUUGGCCCAGGUGAUAUUUAAGAGUGUCUGGCCCAGUGCUCCAGUUGUCUUGAUAGAUGUGGAGGGUGAACACCGUUAGUUGGCCCAGGUGAUAUUUAAGAGUGUCUGGCCCAGUGCUCCAGUUGUCUUGAUAGAUGUGGAGGGUGAACACCGUUAGUUGGCCCAGGUGAUAUUUAAGAGUGUCUGGCCCAGUGCUCCAGUUGUCUUGAUAGAUGUGGAGGGUGAACACCGUUAGUUGGCCCAGGUGAUAUUUAAGAGUGUCUGGCCCAGUGCUCCAGUUGUCUUGAUAGAUGUGGAGGGUGAACACCGUUAGUUGGCCCAGGUGAUAUUUAAGAGUGUCUGGCCCAGUGCUCCAGUUGUCUUGAUAGAUGUGGAGGGUGAACACCGUUAGUUGGCCCAGGUGAUAUUUAAGAGUGUCUGGCCCAGUGCUCCAGUUGUCUUGAUAUAUGUGGAGGGUGAACACCGUUAGUUGGCCCAGGUGAUAUUUAAGAGUGUCUGGCCCAGUGCUCCAGUUGUCUUGAUAUAUGUGGAGGGUGAACACCGUUAGUUGGCCCAGGUGAUAUUUAAGAGUGUCUGGCCCAGUGCUCCAGUUGUCUUGAUAUAUGUGGAGGGUGAACACCGUUAGUUGGCCCAGGUGAUAUUUAAGAGUGUCUGGCCCAGUGCUCCAGUUGUCUUGAUAGAUGUGGAGGGUGAACACCGUUAGUUGGCCCAGGUGAUAUUUAAGAGUGUCUGGCCCAGUGCUCCAGUUGUCUUGAUAGAUGUGGAGGGUGAACACCGUUAGUUGGCCCAGGUGAUAUUUAAGAGUGUCUGGCCCAGUGCUCCAGUUGUCUUGAUAGAUGUGGAGGGUGAACACCGUUAGUUGGCCCAGGUGAUAUUUAAGAGUGUCUGGCCCAGUGCUCCAGUUGUCUUGAUAUAUGUGGAGGGUGAACACCGUUAGUUGGCCCAGGUGAUAUUUAAGAGUGUCUGGCCCAGUGCUCCAGUUGUCUUGAUAGAUGUGGAGGGUGAACACCGUUAGUUGGCCCAGGUGAUAUUUAAGAGUGUCUGGCCCAGUGCUCCAGUUGUCUUGAUAGAUGUGGAGGGUGAACACCGUUAGUUGGCCCAGGUGAUAUUUAAGAGUGUCUGGCCCAGUGCUCCAGUUGUCUUGAUAGAUGUGGAGGGUGAACACCGUUAGUUGGCCCAGGUGAUAUUUAAGAGUGUCUGGCCCAGUGCUCCAGUUGUCUUGAUAUAUGUGGAGGGUGAACACCGUUAGUUGGCCCAGGUGAUAUUUAAGAGUGUCUGGCCCAGUGCUCCAGUUGUCUUGAUAGAUGUGGAGGGUGAACACCGUUAGUUGGCCCAGGUGAUAUUUAAGAGUGUCUGGCCCAGUGCUCCAGUUGUCUUGAUAGAUGUGGAGGGUGAACACCGUUAGUUGGCUCUCCCUAUUUGAUUUAUAGACAAACGUUCCUUUAUCUAAUCUUCCCUGUUUUCGUUUUGCGCCACUUUUUGGUUUGCAUCCUGUCUAAGUUUGGUGUGGGGUUUUCUUUUGUUUGCCUCUUACUGGGCGCUCAUGCUGGGUGUCUUUUAGGUCC